AACCAAUUCAUCUUCCGAAAAAGUUAAAUUCAACCUAAAGGAAUUUCAUAAGCUUUCAAACGAAUUUUAAACCAGGAAUCAAAGAUGCCACCUUACACCAACAGAAUUCCAGACAUAAAGGACAGUCCUAGAUUUAAGGACACCCAGCGCUAGCGUGGCGCAGCAGCAACUCCCUGCCUCCACCCAGCACGCCCAGAAUGUUUUAUCCAGACCUCUUCAGUAAAAAGACUGUGGAUAGAAGAUGGAGCCUAGAGAUUGGAGUGGUAAAGACAUCUUAAUGUACAAACAGUCAGAUGCCCCCUAACUUAAAGGCUAAAAAGCUCACUUUCUGUAGCAUACUCAGCUUCUUUUAUUCCUUGCAAAUGUUACCACAUUGACUAACAAUGUAUAUUUACAACAAAUUUACAAGUUAUAGGCUCUAAAAUUUGUGAAAACCCACCUCAAACAAUCCCCAAACACCAUAGCUUUAAACAUUUCUACAGUACCUUUCAUUGUGCUACCUUAGAAUGCUCUACAAGCAAUGACUCAUCCAGCCUUACCAACCCCCAUUUUACAUAUGGACAACUGAGGCAGAGGGCAUGGCAAGAAUGUAGGAUUUUGGGGACAAGGACUCUUGGCAUUACAUAUGUAUGUAUUACCUAGCAAAAUGGAGUCCUGAUCCAUGAAGCACUACUGUAAUACUGAUUAUUAGAAAGACAAGGUAGGGAAGAUUAUAUCUUUUAUUGGACCAAUUUACACUUCAGAGAAGUAGAUUGCAUCAUGGUAACUGCCACUCAAAUACCUGAAGUGAACCUGGCUCAAUACAGAAAAAAAAAUCACUGACUGCACUUAUCUACUUGCCACCUAUCACACUACACUGUAACCCACACAGGUGUCAUCAAAUAACUAUAACUCAUAUUUGAUGGGGACGACUUCCUGAAAGAAAUUUUUCCUGAAUCCCUCUUCUAGCUUUCAAACAACUCCCUAAUGUUGCCAAUAUCAUCCCCCCCAGACGCCAAGGGCCUGUGCUUGCUUUCUUUCUCUCUCUCUUCCCCCUCCCUACCAAG